AGAGCGAACGCUGGCGGCAGGCUUAACACAUGCAAGUCGAGCGGGCGUAGCAAUACGUCAGCGGCAGACGGGUGAGUAACGCGUGGGAACGUACCUUUGGUUCGGAACAACACAGGGAAACUUGUGCUAAUACCGGAUAAGCCCUUACGGGGAAAGAUUUAUCGCCGAAAGAUCGGCCCGCGUCUGAUUAGCUAGUUGGUGAGGUAAUGGCUCACCAAGGCGACGAUCAGUAGCUGGUCUGAGAGGAUGAUCAGCCACAUUGGGACUGAGACACGGCCCAAACUCCUACGGGAGGCAGCAGUGGGGAAUAUUGGACAAUGGGCGCAAGCCUGAUCCAGCCAUGCCGCGUGAGUGAUGAAGGCCCUAGGGUUGUAAAGCUCUUUUGUGCGGGAAGAUAAUGACGGUACCGCAAGAAUAAGCCCCGGCUAACUUCGCGCCAGCAGCCGC
rnacentral:rRNA from 1 species